AAGUCGUAACAAGGUAUCCGUAGGUGAACCUGCGGAUGGAUCAUUAACACUUAUCCAAGUACCUACUAGUAAACCUAUUUUGGUCACCCGAGUUCCGCGACCGGAUCAUGGAACCCACAAACGGCAGAGCAAAACUCCGGUUUUGCUGUUCCACCGGUAGAAACUCGUUGUUUUCCUGGUCUCCUUCACGGGAUUCCGGGAACUCAACGCAGUCUUGAGAGUCGACACUAAAAACUCUUCCGGUAGAAGAAAGCUUGCUUUUUUCUGCUGCAGUUUCAUUCUGGCUGCUGUUUUGUAUUGUCAAACCAUUAACGAUUUGUAACCAUAUGUCUGAUUUAAGGGUUGGUCCGAAAGGAUUUCAACUUUAACAUUCGCGUAAUUUUUAUACAACUGUUAGCAACGGAUAUCUUGGUUCUC
rnacentral:misc_RNA from 1 species